ensembl:lncRNA
AAUCCUCCCUUAGUUAUGCUGCAAUAGACGUAGGCUGCCGGGGAUUCCCAUGAUGCAUUGAGUUUUUCCCUUCCAGUCACCUUUCUCACUCACUAUGUGCUAAUAGACCUCUCUGCAUCGAAUCAUAUCUGUUAUUAAUCUCUGUCUCUCUUCCACAGCAUGUCUUUCAUCCUGUUUUCCUUCUUUCACCCCAACCGGUCGCAGCAGAUGGCCGCCCCUCCCUGAGCCUGGUUCUGCCGGAGGUUUCUUCCUGUUAAAAGGGAGUUUUUCCUUCCCACUGUCGCCAAAGUGCUUGCUCAUAGGGGGUCAUAUGAUUGUUGGGUUUUUCUCUGUAUUUAUUAUUGUGCUAUCUACUGUACAAUAUAAAGCGCCUUGAGGCGACUUUUGUUGUGAUUUGGCGCUAUAUAAAUAAAAUUGAAUUGAAUUGAAUUGAAUUGAACUGCCAGUAAUAGCCUCACCUCUGUUUUUGGUCUUGGGAUGUGCCAAUGUGCUCAAACGGGACUUACUGAGUGCAAAGACGCUCUCGGAAUGACCGGCAGACCACCAGCCCACACUGUGCACGCCACAUGGUGUCAGCACACCAGCAUGCACAACACUGACACACACACACACACCCCUAACAUGAACCCGAAUCACAUCAGUCUAUGUGUUUUGCUCCUGUAUUUAGUUUCCACCGGAGCUGUGGGAUAUUUGUGAAUGUCUGUUCUUGUAACUGGAGAGUCCUCGUCACACACUAAGGUUAUUAUGGAGUUCCACAGGGUCCAGUGCUAGGACCACUUCUGUUCAUUACCUUGGCCUCCAGUAACACUGUGAGGAACCUUGGAGUCAUUUUUGACCAGGACAUGUCCUUCAAUGCACAUAUUAAACAAAUAUGUAAGACUGCUUUCUUCCAUUUGCGCAACAUCUGUAAAAUUAGAAAUAUCCUGUCUCAGAGUGACGCUGAUUGUGACAUCACAGUCACAGGAGGAUGUGCUGUUAUUGACAUACAGCAGCAGGUUCUCAUCAGCAGAGAGAUUUAGCGGCUCCAUAUUCCAGUGUGUGUCUCCCUGCCUCCCUGCUAUGGAGCAGCUGGUGAAACACCUGUCCAGGUGUCAGCACCUGGGUUGGAUGAACGUGAUUGAGCUGAAGACCGCCUCCAUCCAUUGGCUGUCCUGUGGCCGGAGGACGGAACCUGACAUCUGGAGUAAAAUGUUCUGUAUCCUAUCAGAAUCACGCUUACUAAUGCUGGAUGACCUGGAGGUAUACACACACACACACACACAGACACACACACACACACACACAGACACACACACCCACAGACACACACCUACACACACACUCACACUAACACACACACACAGACACACAGACACACACAGACACACAGACACACACACACACACACACACACACACCCACAGACACACACACCUACACACACACUCACACUAACACACACACACACACAGACACACAGACACACACACCCACAGACACACACCUACACACACACUCACACUAACACACACACACAGACACACAGACACACACACACACACACACACACACACAGACACACACACCCACAGACACACACACCUACACACACACUCACACAGACACACACACACACAGACACACACACACACACAGACACACACACCCACAGACACACACACCUACACCCACACUCACACUAACACACACACACAGACACACACACCCACAGACACACACCUACACACACACUCACACUAACACACACACACAGACACACACAGACACACACUAACACACACAGACACACACACCCACAGACACACACACAGACACACACACACACAGACACACACACCCACAGACACACACACCUACACACACACUCACACUAACACACACACAUAGACACACACACACACACACACACAGACAGACACACACACACCCACACACACCCACAGACACACACACAGACACAGACACACACACCCACAGACACACACACAGACACACCCACAGACACACACACAGACACACACACUGUGAUUCGAUGACAAACAGCUGCUUUCAGGUGAGAGCUUCAGAGUCCAGGUGUGUCAGGUGUGCAGCGCCAUCAGAACGAAGCAAAGACGCCUAGCAUUCAUAUUUAUUGACUCAUAAUCAUCAUCCUCAGACUCAGCAGGAAGUGUUCAGGGUCACAUGAUCAGCGAGUUCACAGGGAGAGCUUAUCUUCAGUCCUGCAGCGGUGACUCACCUGCACACCUCUACUGUUAGACAGGAGCGGGGGCAGGGCUGGGGGCGGGGCCAGGGCUUGGGACAAGCUGUAACUGACAUCUUUUUAUGAUUCUUUAUAAUAUUCACGUUUAUCCAGUCAGAGGUCAGGCAUCGUGGUUUCAGAAGAAAAACAUCGACUCCUCCUCUCUCCCUUCUCUCCUCCUUCAGGUUCAUCCUCUGCUCCUCACAGAGAGGGCGGAGACUUGCACUGUGUGGUUGCUUAGAUACACGCUCCAUGUGACCUCGGCACCUUCUCGCCCCGCCCACAAAGGUAAGGAAGACGAGACGGGUUCAAGCGGCUGCAGAAGACGGAGACAGACGGACAGACAGACAGGAGCACUGAGACACAGACAGACAGGUGGACCGACAGGUGGACAGAUGAUGGACGCAGACUUUGACUCUUGCGGUGGUAAGAAAAGAAAAAGAAGCGGCGGCGAGUGCUUGUAUGUUUUUUGUGUGAGCGCAGCCGGAUUAGAGUGUCUGCUUCAUCACAUCAUGUCACAUUAUUAAUCUCAUAAUCUGAGUUACCAUUGCAACAUAGCAGAUGACUCCUUAGGUCACCAGGAGCUCAGAGGGUG